rnacentral:tRNA from 1 species
ACCCCAGUGGCGCAAUGGAUAGCGCGUCGGACUUCUAAUCGCGGAGGUUGAGGGUUCGAGUCCCUCCUGGGGGU